UACAGAGGUCUCAAGCGUUGUUCGGAUUCAUUGGGCGUAAAGGGUGCGUAGGCGGCUCGGUAAGGCGGGUGGGAAAGCCCGGAGCUCAACUCCGGAACUGCCAUUGAAACUGUUAGACUUGAGGAUGAGAGAGGUGAGUGGAAUUCCCAGUGUAGAGGUGAAAUUCGUAGAUAUUGGGAAGAACACCGGUGGCGAAGGCGGCUCACUGGCUCAUUACUGACGCUCAGGCGCGAUAGCGUGGGGAUCAAACAGG
rnacentral:rRNA from 1 species